GUCUGAACUAAUAUUCAAAAAAGACCCCACUGCUUAUCAUGCAGGAGAAUCUUAUGGGACUGUCAUAGGCUCACUAGUAGCUGUGGUCCUGGUCCUAACCGUGGUGGUGGGACCUUACUGUAUUCACAAGAGGAGGACACCUUCACAGAUUCCAGAUGCUGAUGAGAGUCCAGAACUGGAAUAUGCUGACAUCAAUAUUCUAAAGAAGAUGGAGAAACACAGGGAGGUUCCAGAGGAUGUGGAGUAUGGACAGGUUGUAGUAUUGAAGGGUUCCAGACCAACCACAGAGAGAGACAGACCUGAGGGGCGGGAGGAGACUGUGUAUGCUGGAAUACAGCUUGACCAAUGAGAGAGAUUCUUGUGAAGGGUUGAUAUUUAGACAGAACAUUAAAGCUCUGUUGCUUCUUUUGUUACUGUAACUAUUAGUAUCUAACGGUCCCAUAUUUCUGUACACAUUUACAUGAAAUGUAAAUGAACAACCCAACAACUAAACUGUAUACACUGGCCGUAGAGAGUCCUUCUGUUAUUGAUUGAACAUGUUUUUACCCUUUAAAGUCUCAACAUACAGCCAUACUAACCAUUUCCAUCUACAACAUGCUAUUACACAGUAGUAACAACAGUAAC
ensembl:lncRNA